rnacentral:sRNA from 1 species
UGGCGUUUUACAAUCUCUCUGAUCACUGU